UACGUAGGCAGCGAGCGUUGUUCGGAAUUACUGGGCGUAAAGAGUGCGUAGGUGGUGCUCUAAGUUUGGUGGGAAAUCUCCCGGCUCAACCGGGAGGGUGCAUCGAAAACUGGAAUGCUCGAGGAUGGGAGAGGUAAGCGGAAUUCCUGGUGUAGCGGUGAAAUGCGUAGAUAUCAGGAGGAACACCUGUGGUGUAGACAGCUUACUGGACCAUUUCUGACACUGAGACACGAAAGCGUGGGUAGCAAACAGG
rnacentral:rRNA from 1 species